ACAUGGCUCACAAAUCGUUCUACUUUAGCCUAAAAGGGAUCAAAGCUCUGAGAAAUCAGCUUCCUUUUCACCUUAAAGAUUGUUCAACAUUUGAGCUAUUAUUAGCGUUUCUAUGGAAAUGUCGAACAAUUGCACUCAAGCUACAACCUGAAGAGAUUGCUAAAGUUUGUUGUAUCGUUAACGUUCGAGGAAAACGUUAUAAAAUGGAUAUUCCUCCAGGCUAUUAUGGCAAUGCUUUUACAUUUUCGGCUGUAUGUUCAAAAGCUGAACAAUUGUGUAAGAAUCCAAUAGGAUACGCCGUUGAAUUGGUGAAAAAGUAGGGAUGGCAAAAUCCUCCACGGAUUUGGGGCCCCAUGGAGCCCCACCCCAAAUGGGGAAAAUUUUGAAUAAUUUUUGUGGAAUGGGGUGGGGAGUGGGGGGAAAAUAAUUCUCAAAUUCUUAAUGGGGUGAGGUUUGGUUUUGUACUCCCCACCCCACCCCUACCUUAAUCCCCAUUAAAUAUAAAUAUGUUUUUAAUUCUUAUUUAAUAAUUUUUAUUUUAUCAAUUAUAAUGUCAAUUAAUGUUUUUUUAAUUUUUAUGCAAUAUAAACAAGAUAUGAAUGAAAGAAAAUCCUAUAAUAUUUUUCAACUCUGAAACAUUGUUAUAUUUUCUUUUCUCUUUUAAGGUGCUACGCUCUUUAAAUAUUUUUCAGUUUUAAUAUCAUUUUAAGAUAUUGUUUCAAACUUUUAGAUAUUUUUUUAAAAGAAUUUAAAUACUUUAUAAUAUGAUGAUGAUUUUAUUUUAAGUCUCUAAUUUUUAACUUACUAAAAUAAUGUAUUUAUACAUAUUAUAAAAUAGAUAAAUGGGAUUGCUCAACGUUUGAGCUAUUAUUAGCGUUUCUAUGGAAAUGUCGAACAAUUGCACUCAAGCUACAACCUGAAGAGAUUGCUAAAGUUUGUUGUAUCGUUAACGUACGAGGAAAAAGUUAUGAAAUGGAUAUUCCUCCAGGCUAUUGUGGCAAUGCAUUUACAUUUUCGGCUGUAUGUUCAAAAGCUGAACAAUUGUGUAAGAAUCCAAUAG
rnacentral:lncRNA from 1 species